rnacentral:rRNA from 1 species
UACGUAGGGUGCGAGCGUUGUCCGGAAUUAUUGGGCGUAAAGGGCUCGUAGGCGGUUUGUCGCGUCGGGAGUGAAAACCCAGGGCUUAACUCUGGGCUUGCUUUCGAUACGGGCAGACUAGAGGUAUGCAGGGGAGAACGGAAUUCCGUGGUGUAGCGGUGAAAUGCGCAGAUAUCAGGAAGAACACCCGUGGCGAAGGCGGCUCUCUGGGACGGUACUGACGGCUGAGACGCGAAAGCGUGGGGAGCGAACAGG